GGACCACCUGGUGAGGGGAAGACCUCGGGGCUCCCUAUUUCUCAGCUGUGACUGUGCUCCCUCGGGUACAUGUUGGAGGCCCACGUGGGAUGUGCAUCGAGCCCAGCCUCACUUUUUACAGAAGCAGCUGGGGAAGAACACAGCUCAGAGAAGUUGGAGUCAGCUGUGUGCACUCUGCAUGCUGAGCCUAGACCGGGCUGGGAUACUGUCCCGUGCCACCUUUCUUGCUGUUCUUGCAGGAUGCCCUCUGUAGUUUGGGCGUGUGGACUCAAGAAGGAGGAGGAGAUUACCCAGCAAGGAGGCAUGAGCAGGCCUGGAAUCCAACCUUGAGCAAAGAAGCGGAACAGCCUUUUCAGAGCCUUGGCCUUACUUCCCCCUCACAAAAUCACCAGCUAUGAAGAACACACAGCGCAGGGCGAUUCCGCAACUAUUGGGUUACCUUGAUGAAGACCCGUGGUGAAGCUAGCCUCCAGGACUCCUGGGCCCUGGGACUGCAGGAGGGCUGAGAUACUAGAGGGGAACAAGGACCGGCUCCCAGCAUGGUGCUGGGGACAGGCAGCGGCAGGAGAGCUGCCCUCCAGGAUGUGUAGCUCCAAGACGCCAGGCAGCGAUUUCUGCACAGGAAGAAGGACGGCGGACAGGCCUGUGAACAUGAUCUCCUCUCCCUUGAGGGAGGAAGCUCCCGCCAGUGCGGCUGGUGAUUAAUAGGCUCUGAGCACCCCAACCCCUGUCA